UUUGAUCCUGGCUCAGGACGAACGCUUGCGGCGUGCCUAAGAAAUGCAAGUCGAACGGAACUAGUAGCAAUAUUAGUUUAGUGGCGAACGGUCGCGUAACACGUAAGAAACCUGCCUUGAAGCGGGGGACAACAGUCCGAAAGGACUGCUAAUACCGCAUGUGGCCACUUGGGGGCAUCCCUAAGUGUCUAAAGAUUUAUCACUUCAAGAUGGUCUUGCGGCCUAUCAGCUAGUUGGUGGGGUAACUGCCUACCAAGGCGACGACGGGUAGCUGGUCUGAGAGGACGAUCAGCCGGAUUGGGACUGAGAUACGGCCCAGACUCCUACGGGGGGCAGCAAUUAGGAAUCUUGCACAAUGGGGGAAACCCUGAUGCAGCGACGCCGCGUGAAGGAUGAAGGUUCUCGGAUCGUAAACUUCUUUUAAGAGGGAAGAAAUUUGACGGUACCUCUUGAAUAAGCCCCGGCUAACUACGUGCCAGCAGCCGCGGUAAUACGUAGGGGGCGAGCGUUGUCCGAAGUUACUGGGCGUAAAGCGCGCGUAGGCGGUUUCUUAAGUCUGGGGUGAAAGGUUCAACGCUCAACGUGAACAGUGCCUUGGAUACUGGGAGACUUGAGUUAGGGAGAGGGUAGUAGAAUUCCUGGUGUAGCGGUGAAAUGCGUAGAUAUCAGGAGGAAUACCAAUGGCGAAGGCAGCUACCUGGCCUAUAACUGACGCUGAGGUGCGAAAGCGUGGGGAGCAAACGGGAUUAGAUACCCCGGUAGUCCACGCCCUAAACGAUGAGUGCUAGAUGUAAGAGGUAUCGACCCCUCUUGUGUCGUCGCUAACGCAUUAAGCACUCCGCCUGGGGAGUACGGCCGCAAGGUUGAAACUCAAGGAAUUGACGGGGCCUGCACAAGCGGUGGAGUAUGUGGGUUUAAUUCGAAGC
rnacentral:rRNA from 1 species